UACAGAGGGGGCAAGCGUUGUUCGGAAUUACUGGGCGUAAAGGGCGCGUAGGCGGCCUUCUAAGUCGAACGUGAAAUCCCCGGGCUCAACCCGGGAACUGCGUCCGAUACUGGAAGGCUUGAAUCCGGGAGAGGGAUGCGGAAUUCCAGGUGUAGCGGUGAAAUGCGUAGAUAUCUGGAGGAACACCGGUGGCGAAGGCGGAGACCUGGGGAGAUAUUGACGCUGAGGUGCGAAAGCGUGGGGAGCAAACAGG
rnacentral:rRNA from 1 species